CGUCUUGAGAAGCUAUCAUACAUAAUGCAACGGUCUUGUAAACCGUAGAAAGGCCAACACCCCAAGACUA
rnacentral:tRNA from 1 species